GUAGGUGGCAAGCGUUGUCCGGAAUUAUUGGGCGUAAAGCGCGCGCAGGCGGUUCUUUAAGUCUGAUGUGAAAGCCCACGGGCUCAACCGUGGAGGGUCAUUGGAAACUGGAGAACUUGAGUACAGAAGAGGAAAGCGGAAUUCUACGUGUAGCGGUGAAAUGCGUAGAGAUGUGGAGGAACACCAGUGGCGAAGGCGGCUUUCUGGUCUGUAACUGACGCUGAGGCGCGGAAGCGUGGGGAGCAAACAGGAUUAGAUACCCUGGUAGUCCACGCCGUAAACGAUGAGUGCUAAGUGUUAGGGGGUUUCCGCCCCUUAGUGCUGCAGCUAACGCAUUAAGCACUCCGCCUGGGGAGUACGGCCGCAAGGCUG
rnacentral:rRNA from 1 species